rfam:Flavobacterium sp. 316 scaffold_2, whole genome shotgun sequence.
CCAACGUGGAGUUCAGAAACCACAUUAAUAAACGAGGCGAAAACCUGAAAAGCCUUAUGAGUAAGGAAACAA